rnacentral:piRNA from 1 species
UCAUUUAGGUUUUAGCUGUUGGAUUAUGUGC